rnacentral:lncRNA from 1 species
UUGGUUUCCUGCCCCAGUGUAGAGGCCUGGCAGCCCUUCCCUUGCACACAGGCCCUCCUCCCAGGCAUACCCUCACCUUUGCCCAGUGCUAUUAACACUGACUCACGGAUCAAAGGACACCCCAGCAAGGAUUCUUGACCAUGGAGAGCUUCAAAGUGUGGAACUCAAGAAGUCAUAGGCAAACCUUUGUAUAUUUGCAUUUUCUUGGAAACAGAAUCCUCAGAGAUGGCUCACCCUCUGGACAGAUUGUUCCCUGUUGCUGCCGCCGCACGCCAGAUCCACCGAAGGGACAGGGUGUCUGAGGAGGCUGAGGAGAGACUGCAGGGAUCCAACCUCUCCGGAUCCCAGGCCAGAGCACAGCGCCCCUCCCUGCCGGGGAGAAGCCCUGCUGGGCUCCUGAACGCCAGGCAGGAAAUUGGAAUGCAGCAAUCACAGUGGAAGGCAGCUACUUGCGGCUACAGCAGAUUUCUGGCUCAAGCUGACCCCAAGAUGCCAGUGUGCAGACUUCUGAGACAACCAGGUCCCUCAGGAGCCAUCAUUCACAGCUGUGCAAAGGCUGGUGGGCACAGCUGGGAUGGUAGGUGGUUGUCUCCCAUCAGCAAGAGUUUAUGGAAGAGAUCUUGUCUGCAAGAGGAGGAGGAGAAAAAAGGCAGAGGAAUCCCUCACUUCAAAUGAGGUUAUGGAGAUGCGUAAAAUGUGGGCAACAGUGCAAAAUUUUGUGGAAAAACACCACCCGAAUAAAGCUGUAGCAGUGCGAGCAAUGAAUCUGUCUAACCACAAUACAAUGUCUCAUUUCUGCGAAAUCCUCAAAAGGAGGCAAAAGCAAGUGUCACUGGAUAGGUUCUUUGUUAGAUUUGCAUGAAAAGAAAAAGACCCCAUUGAGCCAACAGAUAGCAGUGAUUCCAUAUUGACAGUGAAAGUCCUCUUAAUGACCCUCCUCUCUCUUGUCUCUCUCACACCGGCCAUGAAGUUUGCAAAAGUGCAGGUUAAUUCAUUUAUUUUUCUUUAUAUUUUGUAUCUUCUUCAUUAUUUUGUAUAAUAUUACAGUUUGGUCAUCAUUUUUAUAUGAAUAUUCUUGGGUUGUGGAAUAUCUGAGUUUCUAUUAUUUCUUGUGGGGAAAUUCACUUUGAUACACAAGUGCUUUGGAUUACAAGCAUGUUUCUGGAACAAAUUAUGGUCUGUUUUUACUGUAUUUUAAAAUGAAGCUGGACAUAUUUGCACCCAUCUGUAGUCCCAGCUGAAGCAGGAAGCAGGAGGACUGGGGAUUUAGCUCAGUGGUUCUGUAGCCUGCCUUGCAAGUGCAAGGUUCUGAGUUCAAUCCCCAGUACAAAAAAAAAAAAAAGCAGGAACCAGGAAGGUGGCAAAUUCGGGGACAGCCUGUCUCAAAGAGGGUUGGGGAUGCAGCUCAAGUAGAGGGUUUCCCUAUCAUGUGCAAGGCCCUGGGUUCAAUCCCCAGUACCACAAGCAAAUAAAACCAAGAAAGCCGAAAGCAGAAGAAAUGGAAAGACUUGACCAAGUCAACCCACGUAGGUUAGCAGUUUGGCUUAAACAGGAACAUUAGCCUCCUCAUUCCCAGUCAAUCUCUCUGCUCAUGGAACUUUAGCGCACUUCUUGGAAACUGCUAUUGGGUUUGGCAUCAAGGGAGAGAUGAAAUGCUGUAGUGGGUGCCCAGGUGUGUGGCCCAGCCCCUCAUUUAGGGUGGAGCCACUCAAUGUCCCAGCUAUGCAGCAAUGGCCAGGAAGGUCCAAGCCUCAGAGCCCUCAAAGCUACCCUCAGCGUGGCUCAAAGUGGGAGGGAGCUACAUUGCUCAAGGUUAUGUCCCUCUUGAGUUUAGGGGGACUCUUGUAUCCAGCGAUAGGCUGAUGUGGGGAGUAAAGGCCCAGCCCAUUGUCUCAGUGUGAGACAUCUGUGCAGGGCCACCCUAGCCCAGAACUCCCCAUGGGACUGGCUGUUUCCUUGGUUGCAAAGGUACAGUAGUUCCAUAUCUCCUUUAAACCCAGCCUGCUCCCUCUACUCCCCGACAGGGGUUCAUCCCAAGACCACCCCAAUGAAUGCAUACAAAUCUCUUAAGAGUCUGUUGUCCACACCUCUGACCUAGGACAGGAGAAAGGAGCUAAACUGGAGGCUUUUUUGUCUGCUUAUUUUUUAAGAUGGUCUCAUUAGACACCACAAACCUCUGCAGUAAGCAUGUUUGCUAAUUUACUGAGAAAAGUGUAUAGCAAAUGUCAAGAUCAAAAUAUAUCUGGCAAAGCUGGGACUCUAGUCCAGGUCCACUUUGACCCUGAGAGUGCAUGUCCUGGUCACUGUCCAUUGUAUAGAAUGACCUGACUUGUGGAGUCUACACUAGAAAAGAGCUGGCUGGCCAAAGGGUCGCUGUUUGUGUUCAAGAAGGGGGUUUGCACAUGGUGUGCAAACAGGGGUAAAUAAGGAGAACAGUGGUCGUAUGUGGACAAUCUUUGAUGACCAAGGAGGCAGUAGUCAGCUCGGGGAGAAGACCUCAGGAUGACCACAGGUCUCAAAGCCAGAGCCACAAACACCACCAGUCCCUGCCAGCAGCAGCCACAGAGGCAAACCCCAAACCUCCCCUUACAGGGCCUGUGUGGUGGGGACUGCUGGCUCUGGGUCUCUGCACACAAACGAGGGGCUCACCCUAUGCAAACUGGCCGGCAAGACUCAGGCUCAAUCUUGUCCCAGUACAGGAUAAGGGAGUCCUGGACUUCUCUGGCUACCUAAUGCUACAUCUGGACCCCAUGUAGAUGAAGAUUGGCCUUGUUGGACUCUGGGGUGAAUCAAGUAUUAAGAACAAGUUCAAGGUCAGCAGACUGCUGCCAUCACCGUAAGUCGGUAGAUAGCUUCUUCACACCCUGGCCCCAGGGCGCUCUGGCGACUAGUAGGAAGAAGACUCUUCCUGAAGUUUUGUCUCUGGAGACUCAGCUCAAUUCUACCCUUGAUGUGUCCAAGUCCUGAGGGGAGCCUCAUGCUAGAGUCCUCCUGAGGAGAGGCAGUGUCCCUGGAAUGGCACCUGGGAAAGAGGGCAGGUUUGGAAACAAGCCUAGCAGUCACUACUGUGGUUCUGGUGGACUUAACACUGAUUGGAAGUUCUAGUAAGCUUUGACAUCAAUUUGAAAAGUAUUUAUUUGAGAUUUAUCCUGUCACCUGGAGUUUACAGUUCACACAUAUAGAAACAAAAAGCCUUUUGCCUCCCUAUAUUAACCUGUCCCUUCCACUGGAGACACAAGCUGGAGAUGUGCAGCUCUGCUCGAGAAGAUGCGACUCUCUGGGGAGAAGGCAGGUUUCUAGAUGUAACACUUGCUAAAGGUACUCCAGCCAAUUAGAAAUUUCUUGUCCCAGGGCUAGUGGGGGGCUCACUGGUAGAGUACUUGCCUAGCAUGCUUCAGGCCCAGGUUUGACCCCCUGCACCAUGAAAGGAAAAAAGAAAUCUCCUCUCCCUUAAAAUGCUGAACCAGUGUGUGCAGAAACUCCCCUUGCAGGCUGUGACCAGGAUGACCCAGAUGACAGGUGCAGUGGUCCGGUCUGUAUGCCAGUAAGUCUCUUUCCUAAGCUGGGCCUCAGUUUCCCACCCGGUGGAGAAUGUUCUUUCAGCCAUGGGGGAGGUAUAUUUGUGAUUACUGUUUUUUUCUCUUCUCUUCUUCUGUUUCACCUUUAUGAGAAAAAUCCCACUGUCAGUUCUACUUGUUUUCUCCCAGCCAUUUUGCUAGUUGAGGUGUUUGCAUGCUGAGGAACACAAACCAAUAUUUUCUUCCUUAGCAAAACAUUAAUUAUCCCACCUAGUAACCUUUCUCUUGGGUAUUUUGUUCUUACCAUCCCCUAAGCUGUUGGGCGCCAAGCAAUUUUGGCAUUUCCCCCAUCAUCUCAGAGAGCUGGCUGCCAUGUCUAAGGUAGGAGCUGCCCUGUUUGGCUGGGUGUGGGCCCUCCUCCAUGCCCUCCCACCCCCAGCAGCACUUGGUACUCCCGCGGCACCCACUGUAACUGCUGUCCCAGCACUUCUCAGGCAGUCUGAGAAUCAUCUGAUUAUGUCUUUUGUCAACUCCCACGAGGCUGUGAAUGUAUUCAUGACUAUAUUCUCAUCACUCAGGACAGUGUCAGCCACGCAACAGUGGCUCCUGGACUGUUUGUGGUGUAGGCAGAUGAAUGAAUGAAAACGAAGGGCUGAAUAAUGGAGUGCAACGUGAGACGCUUGAAUUUUAAGCAGUCUUCCAUUGGCACCACAGCCUCCAUUUCUUCCUAUUUGUUUAACGAACAGUUGCAAGUGCAAUUUGGACCUUUGCUGUCCUUGGCACUUUGGGAGUCCCAUCAUCUGUCCCCACUUUCAGCCAUCCUCAGCUGCUAGCCAGCCACCACAUUCAUCACCAGGAGCCCACCUUCCUCUUUCCUGGUCUCCCCUCAACUGUGAGAUGGGACAGAGGAGGAUUCAGGCUCCAGGAAACAAACGCGGAGCUUGAAAGCACCUUAGCAAUUAGUGAGCACCAACUCCCCUCUCCUCCCAGUUCUCAAAGGCAAUGGAGGCCAUCAAAGGAAUGAAGGCCCAGAGGAGCUGAGAUGUCUGGUUCUCCAUCUCCUACAGGAUGAAUGGUGGGAUUGGGAUGGUGGCUCUGGUUAGCUGUUGAGAAGCAAGAGCAUCCUAAUCAGUUCUGAAAACAGGGCCUUUCUCGGCCUUCCUCCUGCCACACUGUGUGCCAUCACAAGGAGGGAAUGGCCUAUUG